GAUGAACGCUGGCGGCGUGCCUAAUACAUGCAAGUCGAGCGAACGGAUGAGAAGCUUGCUUCUCUGACGUUAGCGGCGGACGGGUGAGUAACACGUGGAUAACCUACCUAUAAGACUGGGAUAACUUCGGGAAACCGGAGCUAAUACCGGAUAAUAUUUUGAACCGCAUGGUUCAAAAGUGAAAGACGGUCUUGCUGUCACUUAUAGCUGGAUCCGCGCUGCAUUAGCUAGUUGGUAAGGUAACGGCUUACCAAGGCAACGAUGCAUAGCCGACCUGAGAGGGUGAUCGGCCACACUGGAACUGAGACACGGUCCAGACUCCUACGGGAGGCAGCAGUAGGGAAUCUUCCGCAAUGGGCGAAAGCCUGACGGAGCAACGCCGCGUGAGUGAUGAAGGUCUUCGGAUCGUAAAACUCUGUUAUUAGGGAAGAACAUAUGUGUAAGUAACUGUGCACAUCUUGACGGUACCUAAUCAGAAAGCCACGGCUAACUACGUG
rnacentral:rRNA from 1 species